rnacentral:lncRNA from 1 species
CUGGGAGCGAAAAAUCCGGGAUCCGGCAACUUUGGGCAGCGCAUGCGCACCCGCGGCGCUCCAUCCCAAACACACACACAUUUUUCCCCGGACUUGGAAAGUCACCCAAAGCCGCCCCAAGUGCAGAUGGAGAAACUGAGGCCCAGAGAGGGGCGAUUGUUUGAACAACAUCACACAGCUAGUCGGUGACGUAUUUGGAACCCAGACGAAGUCUUUGGGCCACUGGAAACAUGGUCAUCUCCGUGGAUGGCUCACGGCGAUGCCGACCAAUCCCAGACAAGGAAUUCUGCUCUCCUCCACUUCCAGGAAACAAAGGGACCCUCGUGGAGGAUCAGAUGCUUUGUGGCUGUGGUUGGGGGUGACUGGUCCUCUAGUUUAGGGACUGCCUCUGUUGAGGAAAGUGCUGGACGGUGAGACAGGAUGACGGGGUUCUAGCCCCACCUCUGUCACUCACAAGCAGCCACUUCCCAAGACCUCAGCUUUGCUGUCCGUGGAGAGAGAAAGAGGCUGGACCCAGUGGUUCCACGUCCCUUCCCACUUCAGGACGGCUGAGCUUCCUGCCACAAUCCGGAGUCCCCAGCUGUGUCACGCAGCAAACCCUCUCCCACAACCUGUCAAACCAGAGAUGCCAGUUUCCCCAGGGCUCCCAUGAGCUCCCUGCCCCUGUCCUUUGCCAGGGAGAGCCUUUGCAGGCUCGCGGAGCAGUGCCCCUGGCCCACGCUCCGUGCACCUGCUUAUUGAUAACUGCGUGUCUGAAUGUGCCUUGUGUCAGAGCCCUUUGGUUUGAAUUUGCCGAGUACUGAGCGGCUGAGACGUGAGAAAAUUAUGAGCAGGAGAGAGACGUGGUACCCUAUGACAAGAGGCAGCUGUGGUGAGAGGGUAGGCACGAUGCCUGGGGUGAGCGCCAUCUGGGCAGGAGGCCUGGCUCCCAGCUGUGGGGGCUCCGGAAGGGCAGAGCCUGGGAGGAACGAUUUUGAAGCCACUACUAUGGAGAUUAAGGGGAUGAGAAUGUAAAUCUCAAGUAAAAAGGUAAUUGAAUGUAAUAGCAAACAGUGCUCGCUCUAUGUUAAUUUUAGCUCUUCCCCUGGAU